rnacentral:rRNA from 1 species
UGCAGUCGACGGCAGCACGGACUUCGGUCUGGUGGCGAGUGGCGAACGGGUGAGUAAUGUAUCGGAACGUGCCCAGUAGCGGGGGAUAACUACGCGAAAGCGUAGCUAAUACCGCAUACGCCCUACGGGGGAAAGCAGGGGAUCGCAAGACCUUGCACUAUUGGAGCGGCCGAUAUCGGAUUAGCUAGUUGGUGGGGUAACGGCUCACCAAGGCGACGAUCCGUAGCUGGUUUGAGAGGACGACCAGCCACACUGGGACUGAGACACGGCCCAAGAACUCCUACGGGAGGCAGCAGUGGGGGAAUUUUGGACAAUGGGGGAAACCCUGAUCCAGCCAUCCCGCGUGUGCGAUGAAGGCCUUCGGGUUGUAAAGCACUUUUGGCAGGAAAAGAAACGUCAUGGGCUAAUACCCCGUGAAACUGACGGUACCUGCAGAAAUAAGCACCGGGCUAACUACGUGCCAGCAGCCGCGGUAAUACGUAGGGUGCAAGCGUUAAUCGGAAUUACUGGGCGUAAAGCGUGCGCAGGCGGUUCGGAAAGAAAGAUGUGAAAUCCCAGAGCUUAACUUUGGAACUGCAUUUUUAACUACCGAGCUAGAGUGUGUCAGAGGGAGGUGGAAUUCCGCGUGUAGCAGUGAAAUGCGUAGAUAUGCGGAGGAACACCGAUGGCGAAGGCAGCCUCCUGGGAUAACACUGACGCUCAUGCACGAAAGCGUGGGGAGCAAACAGGAUUAGAUACCCUGGUAGUCCACGCCCUAAACGAUGUCAACUAGCUGUUGGGGCCUUCGGGCCUUGGUAGCGCAGCUAACGCGUGAAGUUGACCGCCUGGGGAGUACGGUCGCAAGAUUAAAACUCAAAGGAAUUGACGGGGACCCGCACAAGCGGUGGAUGAUGUGGAUUAAUUCGAUGCAACGCGAAAAACCUUACCUACCCUUGACAUGUCUGGAAUUCCGAAGAGAUUUGGAAGUGCUCGCAAGAGAACCGGAACACAGGUGCUGCAUGGCUGUCGUCAGCUCGUGUCGUGAGAUGUUGGGUUAAGUCCCGCAACGAGCGCAACCCUUGUCAUUAGUUGCUACGAAAGGGCACUCUAAUGAGACUGCCGGUGACAAACCGGAGGAAGGUGGGGGAUGACGUCAAGUCCUCAUGGGCCCUUAUGGGUAGGGCUUCACACGUCAUACAAUGGUCGGGACAGAGGGUCGCCAACCCGCGAGGGGGAGCCAAUCCCAGAAACCCGAUCGUAGUCCGGAUCGCAGUCUGCAACUCGACUGCGUGAAGUCGGAAUCGCUAGUAAUCGCGGAUCAGCAUGUCGCGGUGAAUACGUUCCCGGGUCUUGUACACACCGCCCGUCACACCAUGGGAGUGGGUUUUACCAGAAGUAGUUAGCCUAACCGCAAGGGGGGCGAUUACCACGGUAGGAUUCAUGAC